rnacentral:rRNA from 1 species
GACGGAGGUCCCGAGCGUUGUUCGGAAUCACUGGGCUUAAAGCGCGUGUAGGCGGACGAGCGAGUACCUUGUGAAAUCCCCGGGCUCAACCCGGGAAUGGCUGGGUAUACUGCUCGUCUUGAGGCAGGUAGGGGUCACUGGAACCUUAGGUGGAGCGGUGAAAUGCGUAGAUAUCUAAGGGAACGCCUGUGGCGAAAGCGGGUGACUGGGCCUGUCCUGACGCUGAGACGCGAAAGCGUAGGGAG